GUGCAGCAGUCGCGAAAACUCCGCAAUACGCGAAAGCGUGACGGGGCCAUCCCGAGUGCCGUCCGCUGAGGAUGGCUUUUCCAUAGUGUAGAUAGCUGGGGGAAUAAGGAGAGGGCAAGUCUGGUGUCAGCCGCCGCGGUAAUACCAGCUCUUCGAGUGGUAGGGAUGUUUAUUGGGCCUAAAGCAUCCGUAGCUGGUUGUGCAAGUCCUCCGUUAAAUCCAGUGAUUUAAUCGUUGGACUGCGGGGGAUACUGUUCGGCUAGGAGAUGGGAGAAGCCAACGGUAUUCCCGGGGUAGGAGUGAAAUCCUAUAAUCCCGGGAGGACCAGCAGUGGCGAAGGCUGUUGGCUAGAACACGCCCGACGGUGAGGGAUGAAAGCUGGGGGAGCGAACCGGAUUAGAUACCCCUGUAGUCC
rnacentral:rRNA from 1 species